rnacentral:rRNA from 1 species
UACGGAGGGUGCGAGCGUUGUCCGGAAUCAUUGGGCGUAAAGGGCGCGUAGGUGGCGGGACAAGCGUGCGGUGAAAGCCUGGGGCUCAACCCCGGGUCGGCCGUGCGAACUGUUUUGCUUGAGCACUGUAGAGGCAGGCGGAAUUCCGGGUGUAGCGGUGGAAUGCGUAGAGAUCCGGAAGAACACCGGUGGCGAAGGCGGCCUGCUGGGCAGUAGCUGACACUGAGGCGCGAAAGCUGGGGGAGCAAACGAGG